UCACCCAGGUUGCCGCAAGGCCUCCUGGGUAACCUACCACCCUUUGUUUAUUACACUUUGUUGCUUUGGCAAGCCUGCCCUCGGGCUGCUGGCUCCGGCCGGCGAGCGCUUGCCAGAGGACCUAAACUCUGUUUGUCUAUACUGUCUGAGUACUAUAUAAUAGUUAAAACUUUCAACAACGGAUCUCUUGGUUCUGGCAUCGAUGAAGAACGCAGCGAAAUGCGAUAAGUAAUGUGAAUUGCAGAAUUCAGUGAAUCAUCGAAUCUUUGAACGCACAUUGCGCCCCCUGGUAUUCCGGGGGGCAUGCCUGUCCGAGCGUCAUUACAACCCUCAAGCUCAGCUUGGUAUUGGGCCCCGCCGACCCGGCGGGCCCUAAAGUCAGUGGCGGUGCCGUCCGGCUCCGAGCGUAGUAAUUCUUCUCGCUCUGGAGGUCCGGUCGUGUGCUCGCCAGCAACCCCCAAUUUUUUUCAGGUUGACCUCGGAUCAGGUAGGGAUACCCGCUGAACUUAAGCAUAUCAAUAAGCGGAGGAAAAGAAACCAACAGGGAUUACCUCAGUAACGGCGAGUGAAGCGGUAACAGCUCAAAUUUGAAAUCUGGCCUCACGGUCCGAGUUGUAAUUUGUAGAGGAUGCUUCGAGCAUGGUCUGGCCUAAGUUCCUUGGAACAGGACGUCAUAGAGGGUGAGAAUCCCGUAUGCGGCCAGGUGCCUACGCUCAUGUGAAGCUCCUUCGACGAGUCGAGUUGUUUGGGAAUGCAGCUCAAAAUGGGUGGUAAAUUUCAUCUAAAGCUAAAUAUUGGCCAGAGACCGAUAGCGCACAAGUAGAGUGAUCGAAAGAUGAAAAGCACUUUGGAAAGAGAGUUAAACAGUACGUGAAAUUGUUGAAAGGGAAGCGCUUGCAACCAGACUUGCGCGCGGCCGAUCAUCCGGUGUUCUCACCGGUGCACUCGGCCGUGCUCAGGCCAGCAUCGGUUUUGGCGGCUGGAUAAAGGCCCUAGGAAUGUGGCUCCUCUCGGGGAGUGUUAUAGCCUAGGGUGCAAUGCAGCCUGCU
rnacentral:rRNA from 1 species